GUGGUUAUGUCAGAAUUAAUAUGAGUUAACUUUAAGCGUUAAUUAUGGCGUUAGCCUGAUCACU
rnacentral:tRNA from 1 species